rnacentral:lncRNA from 1 species
UCGGGCAUGCUGAGAUUUUCCAGGAUGCCAUGAAGCCAGGGACGGAUAGCCUUCAGGGAGCGCAGUUUCUUCUGGGGUUUAGCACAGGCCAGGCCUUGGCUGGAAAUAGGGAAAGGUCACAGGGGACAGAAUGACUCAGAAGAUAAUGGAGCUUUGAAGUCUAGCAGAAUAUGAAGUCUUUCCUCUUCUGGUUUAAAUUUAAAAGGAGCUGGUAGACAGAUAAGCUGACAGCAGGUCUCCACCACUGCCG